CCUACGGGAGGCUGCAGUGAGGAAUAUUGGUCAAUGGCCGAGAGGCUGAACCAGCCAAGUCGCGUGAAGGAUGACGGCCCUACGGGUUGUAAACUGCUUUUGUCGGGGAGUAAAGAGAGUCACGUGUGGCUCAUUGCGAGUACCCGAUGAAAAAGCAUCGGCUAAUUCCGUGCCAGCAGCCGCGGUAAUACGGAGGAUGCGAGCGUUAUCCGGAUUUAUUGGGUUUAAAGGGUGCGACGGCGGAGGUGCAAGCCAGUGGUGAAAUUGCGGGGCUCAACCCCGUACUGCCGUGGAAACUGGAUCCCUUGAGGGCGCGAGAGGUAUGCGGAAUGCGUGGGGUAGCGGUGAAAUGCAUAGAUAUCCGGCAGAACUCGGAGUGCGAAGGCAGCAUACCGGCGCGCAACUGACGCUCAUGCACGAAAGCGUGGGUAUCGAACAGGAUUAGAUACCCCUGUAGUC
rnacentral:rRNA from 1 species